UCAAAGUGAUGAGACUCCACUUACUGGUCCGUGUUUCUGAAAAACGUGAUAAUUAGUGGAAAUUCUGAUUUG
ensembl:snoRNA SNORD18 Small nucleolar RNA SNORD18